AACGAACGCUGGCGGCGUGGAUAAGACAUGCAAGUCGAACGCUCAUUCAUCUGCAGCAAUGUGGGUGAGUGGGAGUGGCGCAAGGGUGCGUAACACGUGGGUAAUUUGCCGCGAAGUUGGGGAUAACUCGCUGAAAGGCGAGCUAAUACCGGAUGGGGUUGGGUGGUGGCAUCAUUGGCCAACCAAAGUUGGGGACCCGCAAGGGCCUGACGCUUCGCGAUAAGCCCGCGGCCUAUCAGCUAGUUGGUGAGGUAACGGCUCACCAAGGCUAAGACGGGUAGCUGGUCUGAGAGGACGACCAGCCACACUGGAACUGAGAGACGGUCCAGACACCUACGGGUGGCAGCAGUCGAGAAUUUUUCACAAUGGGCGCAAGCCUGAUGGAGCGACGCCGCGUGGGGAUGAAGGGCUUCGGCUCGUAAACCCCUGUCAUUUGCGAACAAACCCUCACAUUGAACAGGUGUGAGGUUGAUUGUAG
rnacentral:rRNA from 1 species